rnacentral:rRNA from 1 species
AUUGAACGCUGGCGGCAUGCCUUACACAUGCAAGUCGAACGGCAGCAUGGGAGCAAUCCUGGUGGCGAGUGGCGAACGGGUGAGUAAUAUAUCGGAACGUGCCCAGUCGUGGGGGAUAACGUAGCGAAAGCUACGCUAAUACCGCAUACGAUCUACGGAUGAAAGCGGGGGAUCGCAAGACCUCGCGCGAUUGGAGCGGCCGAUAUCAGAUUAGGUAGUUGGUGAGGUAAAGGCUCACCAAGCCGACGAUCUGUAGCUGGUCUGAGAGGACGACCAGCCACACUGGGACUGAGACACGGCCCAGACUCCUACGGGAGGCAGCAGUGGGGAAUUUUGGACAAUGGCGCAAGCCUGAUCCAGCAAUGCCGCGUGCAGGAUGAA